rfam:Schizosaccharomyces pombe chromosome II, complete replicon
GCUUUGGUGGUUUAGUGGUAUAAUGAAUCGUUGCCAUCGAUUCGACCCGGGUUCGAUUCCCGGCCAAAGCA